rnacentral:rRNA from 1 species
CAAUAGCGUAUAUUAAAGUUGUUGCAGUUAAAAAGCUCGUAGUUGGAUUUCUGGUGGGAGCGAUCGGUCUGGCGCUUAGCGCGAGUACUUGCAUCGUCUCCGGCCAUCCUUGGGGAGAGUCUGUCUGGCAUUAAGUUGUCGGGCAGAGGAUCCUCAUCGUUUACUGUGAAAAAAUUAGAGUGUUCAAAGCAGGCUUAUGCCGUUGAAUAUAUUAGCAUGGAAUAAUAAGAUAGGACUUUGGUACUAUUUUGUUGGUUUGCGCACCAAAGUAAUGAUUAAUAAGGACAGUUGGGGGUAUUCGUAUUCCGUUGUCAGAGGUGAAAUUCUUGGAUUUACGGAAGACGAACUACUGCGAAAGCAUUUACCAAGGAUGUUUUCAUUAA